CCCGCUGAACUUAAGCAUAUUACUAAGCGGAGGAGAAGAUAUUAACUAAGAUUGCCUUAGUAAGGGCGACUGAACCGGCAAAAGCUCGAAAUUAAAAUCGGUAAUCCAAUGGAUUCCCGAAUUGUAAUCAGGGUUGCCUAAAUACGGGAGGUUUCUCAAGAGUCUCGAAAGGCUCGCCAGAGAGGGUGCAAGCCCCGUGCAGAGAUCUCUCGAACAAGGUAAUUCAACGAAGAGUCGUGUUGCUUGGAACUGCAGCACUAAGUGGGAGAUAUGAUUCUUCCAAAGCUAAAUAUGGAUGGGAGACCGAUAGCGAACAAGUACUGUGAAGGAAAGAUGAAAAGGACUUUGAAAAGAGAGUGAAAAGAUCUGAAAUCGUUGAGAAGUAAGCGGUUAGGACUGAUAUGGGUUAUGAUGGCGCAACGCGGCCAAAAGUCGUGGAGCGUUUACCAAGACCCUAGACAAAAUCAAUCUCUUCGGGCCAAAAAAGGUGCAAGCCGGUCAGGGCAUGAAGGGAUUGAGGGGCUACGGCGAUUUUGUCUAUAGGUUCUAACCGUCCCGUCUUGAAACAC
rnacentral:rRNA from 1 species